rnacentral:rRNA from 1 species
UACGGAGGGGGCUAGCGUUGUUCGGAAUUACUGGGCGUAAAGCGCGCGUAGGCGGACCUGCAAGUCGGGGGGUGAAAGCCCGGAGGCUCAACCUCGGAACUGCCUUCGAUACUGCGGGUCUCGAGUCCGGGAGAGGUGAGUGGAAUUCCGUAGUGUAGAGGUGAAAUUCGUAGAUAUUAGGAAGAACACCAGUGGCGAAGGCGGCUCACUGGCCCGGUACUGACGCUGAGGCGCGAAAAGCGUGGGGGAGCAAACAGGG